rnacentral:rRNA from 1 species
AGGAUGAACGCUAGCGGUGUGCCUAAUACAUGCAAGUCGUACGGAAAGGCCCUUCGGGGUACUCGAGUGGCGGACGGCUGAGUAACGCGUGGGAACGUACCCUAAAGUGAGGAAUAACUGCCCGAAAGGGUGGCUAAUGCCGCAUAUGCUCUUCGGAGUAAAGCUUCGGCGCUUUGGGAGCGGCCCGCGUCCGAUUAGCUUGUUGGUAAGGUAAUGGCUUACCAAGGCGACGAUCGGUAGCUGGUCUGAGAGGAUGAUCAGCCAGACUGGGACUGAGAACGGCCCAGACUCCUACGGGAGGCAGCAGUAGGGAAUUUCCACAAUGGGC